UGAUGACAUUCUCCGGAAUCUCUGUAAUUUUAUUGAUGAUUAUUUGAACCCAUGUGUCUGAUGAUUGUAGCCACUGGUG